rnacentral:rRNA from 1 species
ACACGACUACAUUAGAUACCCGUGUAGUCCUAGCCGUAAACGAUACUCGGCUAGGUGUCGGCCACGGUGCGACCGUUGUCGGUGCCGUAGGGAAGCCGUGAAGCGAGCCACCUGGGAAGUACGGCCGCAAGGCUGAAACUUAAAGGAAUUGGCGGGGGAGCACCACAACGCGUGGAGCCUGCGGUUUAAUUGGAUUCAACGCCGGAAAUCUUACCGGGACCGACAGCAACAUGAAGGCCAAGCUGAAGACUUUGCCGGAUUAGCUG